GAAGCUAUCUGAAUUAGAGGAAGCUAAUAGACAAGGAGAGAGGGAGA
rnacentral:sRNA from 1 species